AGUGAAUAUAUUCCAGUGAUUGCAAUAACUGUGAAAAUUUUCUUUGUUAAUCAAGUUUCGUUAACGAAGCUUUCUGUCCUUCAAAGUUUCCAGAGUUUUUCAGCUAUUAACGUGUAUAUAUACAUGAAAACUCGCGAUAACGAUAGUACAUCGAAGAAACAAUUUCAUGGAAAACUAAGUAAUAAUUAUUCGAGUUUUAGAAAUUGACGAAGAAUUUUUGAACAAUUUCUAUAAAAUUAAGAAUUCUACAAAGGAAGAAUUCUCGAAAUUGAUAAAAGCAUACGUGAAUUUAGAGAAACAGUAAACUUUGUUCAUCGCAAGGAAUGGAGUUUGUUAGCAUUCCAAACUUCGUUAGGAAUCGUAAUUUGAAACGAGAAAUGGAAGAAAGUGUCUGGAAAAUUAAUAAAUUUGCAUAUUUGUCUAAAUAUUUGCGUUUGAAGUGGAAAAUGCUAAUUAAAGAAAAGGCAAGCUGAAAAUUAUUCCAACCAGAAUAUAAAAUUUAAUAAACAAUUAUUUUCUACUCACCUAGUAAAGACAAGGCACAGUAACGUAGCACUAAGGAUCAUAAGUUGCUGACUUAAAGCUGAUUGAGAUUUUUGCAUAGCUCUGUGCAGAUCGUUCUGAAAAAAA